GAGGCUGCAGUUUCCUGGGAACAAUGAGCUCUCGGAGGUUUGUUGUGAUCCAGACUUAAGGAGGAGGUGGAGUCUGCUGGGUUGUGUUCCUCCCGGCUGGGGCUGGCCGAAGUGUGUGGUCUUUGGAGCUAAAGGAAGCAUGGAUUCUGUGGGGUUUGCUUCUGCGGGCCUCCCUUGCAGCCUUGCAAACCUCCUCAGGGCUGCUUACAGUUUCAGAGAUGGGCAAGCAAGAAGAGAAACCCUGGCCUUAAAAUUCCAAAAGAAGCAUUUGAACAACCUCAGACCAGUUCCACGUAAGUUGGCACAAUUAUCGUCUUAACUCAAGCAUGGGGACUUAGCC
rnacentral:lncRNA from 1 species